rnacentral:rRNA from 1 species
CCUACGGGAGGCAGUGGGGAAUAUUGGACAAUGGGCGAAAGCCUGAUCCAGCCAAGCCGCGUGUGUGAAGAAGGCCUUCGGGUUGUAAAGCACUUUCAGUGGGGAAGAAAGCCUUGGGGCUAAUACCCUCGAGGAAGGACAUCACCCACAGAAGAAGCACCGGCUAACUCCGUGCCAGCAGCCGCGGUAAUACGGAGGGUGCGAGCGUUAAUCGGAAUUACUGGGCGUAAAGCGCGCGUAGGCGGUCUGAUAAGCCGGUUGUGAAAGCCCCGGACUCAACCUGGGAACGGCAUCCGGAACUGUCAGGCUAGAGUGCAGGAGAGGAAGGUAGAAUUCCCGGUGUAGCGGUGAAAUGCGUAGAGAUCGGGAGGAAUACCAGUGGCGAAGGCGGCCUUCUGGACUGACACUGACGCUGAGGUGCGAAAGCGUGGGUAGCAAACAGGAUUAGAUACCCUGGUAGUC